CCCACCUUGAUUCGCAAAUUAUUUUGCCAGACAGGGAACAACCCAGAGUGAAUUUAUUUAACACAUCCCGGUGUUAUGACUAAGUGGGAAGAAAAUCCUCUCUCUGAAGAAAACUAAUUGAAAAUGUAAGUGAUUCCAGCAGGACAGCCCUGCGGUACGCCCUGCCUUGAAAAGUAGAGGCUCGCUCAGUGGUAGCACUGCUAAACAUUCCCCCUUGCUAGAUGAGGUGUUAAAGUGUAUCUCUUCCCCUUUUCGGGAGAUGAAUUAUAAAAUGGUGUGAUCCAGAGCUCCAGCCUGGUUGGAUGAGAGGUGCACGUCGAUUUGUACAACUGAGCCUAUACGUUCCUGGAGCAGCAUGAAGAGGCAUGCUGCUAUUGAAAUUUCAGAUCAUUUUGCAGCUGCAAACUGUAAUAGCAGUAAUAAUAAACCAGAAGCUGUGCUAUCCAUUAAAAAGAACCCCAGACACUCUCACAUGUUUGUUUUGCCUCUGAUUUUAAACAUCCAGCACCAGCUGAACUUCUUGUUCACAAUUCAUUAAAAAUGUCCUGGAUCUUCUCACACACAUGGGUUACUGUGCGUCCCCAGAGAUAAGAGCACGAGAUGGGAGAGGGGACAAAAGUGAGCUCUCGCCUCGCUUAGGUCACCUCCUUAGUGUGACACGAGGUGGUUCGCUCCACCUCGCUGUGUCCCCGCUGCUCAGAGGGCAGGGGGGUGCUGGUGUCCUGCAGGCUGCUGUAAGGCCAGGCUUUUCUGCUGGCAGAAAUCUGCACAGUUUUGAGCUGAGUUGACUUGGGUAGAGCCAACCACAGAUGCUGGCUGAAGGUGUGCACGUCCCGAACCUCUGCGAACGACUGGGAAGCGGCUGUGCAUCGCUGCGUGGCUGCAGCCCUGGCCUGAGCUGCAGCUGAUGAACUUCUCCGAGUCCGGUUGCUGGAGACUCUGAGCUCCUGCAUGGGCAGAGAUGUCCGCAUGAGAAAGCCCCGGGUCUCCUGCUGCUCUCUCAGACAGAAAUGAUUUGCUUCAGGCCACAGGUGCUGGGGUGCUGGAUGCCACCCGAAGCGUUGCGUAGAAGUGUCCCCGUGCUGCGGGUGCUGCGGUUACCACGGCGGUGCCAAAGCAGAGCCCAAGCAGCAGAGAAGGAGGCUCCUGCCUUACCCUGCCGCGGGGCUGCGGUGCUAAUGGGGCCACUGCUCUGCCUCACAGGCCCUGACGAACCUCUAACUUCAUUUUUCAGGCUGCAGAGGAAGAGCAAGAUCUGCGUGAUGGCUUGUGCAGCAGGUGGGUUCACUCCUUGAAGGUCCAUGGGCAAGGAAAGGUUUCGCUCCAGGUUACUCCGGAGCCUUGUGCUAGAAGCUGCCACUGGAAACCACCCCUCCCAAGCCCCCAGUGAACGCCUAAACACCAUUAGUAAGGGUAGGAGGGGAGAGCCGUGCUGGCACUCCUGCAAGCUACAAAUCCACUCACACACUCAGCAGCGACAGCCGGGGAGCAGCUCGGGGAGAGCAGCCGCCCAGCCUCCAGCACGCCCGCAGAAACAGCCCAGCGAUGGGCACCAGCUCCCAAAACGCUCCUCGUGGUCCCUCACCACCAUGCAAUGAGCUGAGCACGGCCAACCAAAAGCUACGCUGGAUUUUGUGAGCCUGAGAAGAGCACUAUAUCCCUGGAAGAGGACGGAAACAUUUAUUUAUCGAUAAUAUUUUUUUGCUUAGCUUUUUUUUUUUUUUUUUUGAAGUGUGCCAAAUUAACACAAGAAUGGCAAUGUUGAUUUUUUUUUUUUAUCUCUACUUUUCAGUGAAUAUGAAUGCUCAACUCUGGCAGGGCUUAACUUUGUGUAUGAAGAGGGAAAAAAAAAUCCUGUGUGCGUCUUUAAUACACAGAUGGUUUCCCAAGCAUUGAGGCAAACUCUUUGUGGGGCCAGCUCAGCCCAGUGGCCUCCCUGGACCCAAACCUCGCCUACAUCAGCUGGGCUUAACCCCACGCACAGCAUCCGAGCGCCUUCUGCAGAUCGGGCAAGCCAGAGACACAUCCAUCACUACAUCUCCAUCAUCUUCAAACUUCAUGAGCUUCUCCUGUCCUCCUUGGCGAAGGAAAACACUCAAGGAAAUAGCAGCAAGCAUAGCCAUUGCUCCUCAUCACCUUUAGAAGCCUCACGGUGGGAUAACAACGUCCAAGGUUGCCCCGGGACCCUGGAAUCACAGCAAAGGAGCUGACCGCAGGCGGACAACCACUGUGAGCGUGCAGGACUUCCGAAUCAGGCCAACAACUGGAUCAGGUCUGAAGAGUCACACCGACCCAGCAACUUGUCUUUAAAUACAUACGGUGUGCUGAGUGGGGGAGUGGGGAUCAGGAAAAAAAACAACAGAAUAAAGAAA